GGAACCCCCAUCAAACUUGGAUUUUGUAAGUAGUUGCGAAUGAACACAAACUUGAUCACUUUGGCAAUCUGUGCACAUCAUUGUGCAACAAUUUGUAUAUGUAGGCACAGUGCUAUCAAAGCUGCAUGCAAGUGAUUUUUGAAAGGAUACAACAUGGGAUGUGAUAUUCAUGUGUGUGUGCCUGCUUUGUCCACAGCCUGUGCUGUAUGAAUCACAUUUCUUGCAACUGAAAUGCUAAUAGCAUGGUAAAGUUCAUGUGACAUGAUACAAGCUUGAGAUUCAUGAUGUGCAAGUACCAUGAGGGAAAUGUGAAAAGGACUUUGAAAAGAGAAUUAAAGAAAGCCUGCAUUUGCUGACAAUAAAAGCAAGUGUAGAUGUUCAUGUAAUUGUUACUGCAUCAAUCAAUGUUCAUCAUGGUUACUGCAUGUUUUAUCACAUGGGAUCAGUUGAAACUUUGUGAGAGCACUCUUCAGUUCCCGCACGUACCCACCAGCUUUGUCCACUCGUGUGUUGGCACACAUGUAAUGAUGAUGUGUUUAUGCAAGAUACUUCUGUGCGCACCAACAUGUGGCAAAUUAGCAA
rnacentral:rRNA from 1 species